rnacentral:rRNA from 1 species
UACGGGGGGGGCAAGCGUUGUUCGGAAUUACUGGGCGUAAAGGGCUCGUAGGCGGCCAACUAAGUCGGACGUGAAAUCCCUCGGCUCAACCGGGGAACUGCGUCCGAUACUGGAUGGCUCGAGUUCGGGAGAGGGAUGCGGAAUUCCAGGUGUAGCGGUGAAAUGCGUAGAGAUCGGGAGGAACACCUGUGGCGAAAGCGGCUCACUGGACCAUUACUGACGCUGAUGCACGAAAGCGUGGGGAGCGAACGGG